rnacentral:rRNA from 1 species
CAGUCGCCGCGGUAAUACAGAGGGUGCAAGCGUUACUCGGAAUUACUGGGCGUAAAGCGUGCGUAGGUGGUGGUUUAAGUCCGUUGUGAAAGCCCUGGGCUCAACCUGGGAAUUGCAGUGGAUACUGGGUCACUAGAGUGUGGUAGAGGAUAGUGGAAUUUCCGGUGUAGCAGUGAAAUGCGUAGAGAUCGGAAGGAACAUCUGUGGCGAAGGCGACUAUCUGGGCCAACACUGACACUGAGGCACGAAAGCGUGGGGAGCAAACAGGAUUAGAACCCCGGUAGUCCCUGUCUCUUAUACA